rfam:Felis catus isolate Cinnamon breed Abyssinian chromosome C2, whole genome shotgun sequence.
GCCUGGGUGGCUUAGUUGGUUAAGCAUCUGACUCUUGGUUUCGGCUCAGGCCAUGACCUCACAGUUUGUGAGUUCGAGCCCCACACUGGGCU